rnacentral:ncRNA from 1 species
AACCAAUCAAUGAUGUGACCAAGUAAAUAAGGAUUGUGAAACAGAAAAUAUAGCCUUGGCUGAGAGCUAUAUCACCUCUUCUUAUUGAACCCUGCCACGGAGAUGUUAGAUAAAACUAACCGAGUCGUUUCGUUACAAACGUAUAGAGGACUUAAUAUAUAUUAAGUUGAACUAAGGUGGUACCACGUCUAUUAAGCAUAGAGACGUCCUUUUU